GAGAUGGCCAAUGCGUGACAACAUGCGGAGAGCCCCCAUGAAGUUUCUGUUGGUACUACCUAUGCACCAAACAAUCAAGCCUAAUAGAUCAACUGACCUGUAAUCGUAAGCUUAAAAUGAGGUAUAUUUUCUAUCAUUUGUGCUUCAUAGGUAUCGAUAUGGUGCGGAACCCCUUAGAACCGUUACAUUAAAAAUGUUCAUUACAUGGUACUGUUAUACACUUAGACAAGCAGUUUGCUCCAGAAAGGAUCAUGCUUGGUGUCUUCUUUCUAAUAUUGUUUACUCAUGUUGCUUAUGUAAUCUAAUAUUAUUGCCCCUGGUAUCUUUCAAGAAAAGCUUUUGGUAGCCAAGAAGGUGAUAUACCUAGGAUAGAUGCUUCAUCCAUGUCCACAUUAGUAGGCAUACUUCGGUAAAAAACUCUUCCACUUUCACAAGAUCGAAGGCAUACCCCUGAUUUUUUUAGAAAUUUCGAGAUUUCCCCACAAUUCUUUUAUUGAUUCACAAUUUCCUGCUGUUUGUGACGAUAUGGACAUCCAUUUUGUCGUGUGCCUGAUCCUGAAUUCUCUUGAGCCCCUAUUCUUGAGUUGGUUCACUGCAUCGAACUGUUGCUCGUGGAAUCGUUUUGGACAUCAUCUUGCUGAUUGUGGCAUUCA